AGAACGAACGCUGGCGGCAGGCUUAACACAUGCAAGUCGAACGGUUGUAGCAAUACAGCAGUGGCAGACGGGUGAGUAACACGUGGGAACCUUCCUAGGGGUACGGAACAACUCAGGGAAACUUGAGCUAAUACCGUAUACGUCCGUAAGGAGAAAGAUUCAUCGCCCCUAGACGGGCCCGCGUAGGAUUAGGUAGUUGGUGAGGUAACGCUCACCAAGCCUACGAUCCUUAGCUGAUCUGAGAGGAUGAUCAGCCACACUGGGACUGAGACACGGCCCAGACUCCUACGGGAGGCAGCAGUGGGGAAAUCUUGGACAAGUGGGCGCGAAGCCUUGAUCCAGCCAGUGCCGCGUGAGUGAAGGAAGGCCGUUA
rnacentral:rRNA from 1 species